rnacentral:rRNA from 1 species
UACGGGGGGGGCAAGCGUUGUUCGGAAUUACGGGGCGUAAAGGGCUCGUAGGCGGCCAACUAAGUCAGACGUGAAAUCCCCAGGCUCAACCUGGGAACUGCGUCUGAUACUGGAUGGCUUGAAUCCGGGAGAGGGAUGCAGAAUUCCAGGUGUAGCGGUGAAAUGCGUAGAUAUCUGGAGGAAUACCGGUGGCGAAGGCGGCAUCCUGGACCGGCAUUGACGCUGAGGAGCGAAAGCGUGGGGAGCAAACAGG